rnacentral:rRNA from 1 species
CCUACGGGAUGCAGCAGUGAGGAAUAUUGGUCAAUGGACGCAAGUCUGAACCAGCCAUGCCGCGUGCAGGAAGACGGCUCUAUGAGUUGUAAACUGCUUUUGUACGAGGGUAAACGCAGAUACGCGUAUCUGUCUGAAAGUAUCGUACGAAUAAGGAUCGGCUAACUCCGUGCCAGCAGCCGCGGUAAUACGGAGGAUUCAAGCGUUAUCCGGAUUUAUUGGGUUUAAAGGGUGCGUAGGCGGUCGGAUAAGUUAGAGGUGAAAUCCCGAGGCUCAACGUCGGAAUUGCCUCUGAUACUGUUCGGCGAGAGAGUAGUUGCGGUAGGCGGAAUGUAUGGUGUAGCGGUGAAAUGCUUAGAGAUCAUACAGAACACCGAUUGCGAAGGCAGCUUACCAAGCUACUUCUGACGUUGAGGCACGAAAGCGUGGGGAGCAAACAGGAUUAGAUACCCGGGUAGUC